CCUACGGGUGGCAGCAGUGAGGAAUAUUGGUCAAUGGGCGCAAGCCUGAACCAGCCAAGUCGCGUGAGGGAUGACGGUCCUAUGGAUUGUAAACCUCUUUUGUCGGGGAGCAAGGCCCGCCACGUGUGGCGGGAAGGAGAGUACCCGAAGAAAAGGAUGCGGUUAACCCGGUGCCAGCAGCCGCGGUAAUAGGGAGGAUGGGAGCGUUAUCCGGAUUUUUGGGGUUUAAAGGGUGCGUAGGCGGUAGGUUAAGUCAGUGUGAAAAUGUCGGUGCUAAACACCAUCCUGCCGUUGAAACUGGUCGUCUUGAGUGAGCGAGAAGUAUGCGGAAUGCGUGGUGUAGCGGUGAAAUGCAUAGAUAUCACGCAGAACUCCGAUUGCGAAGGCAGCAUACCGGCGCUCAACUGACGCUGAGGCACGAAAGCGUGGGUAUCGAACAGGAUUAGAUACCCGUGUAGUC
rnacentral:rRNA from 1 species